AAGCUGGAAGCUAGCAGGUAGAAAGAACAAAACUGGAUAUUGAUUGUCCCAAGGAAUCCAAGAUAAUUGAGAAAUACAAGUUAAAAUAACCGAAAUGAGAGGGAAUAUGAGAGGAGGUCGGCAGUUGCCAGAAAAGACGACUUUUCAACGAAGAUGUAUGUAAGUAUUAUGUAUGCAAUGCAAGUAUCAAAAACAAGUUCAUAAAAGGAUCAAGUCAUAAACGGAACAGAUUUUGAAAAAGAUAAGUUGGUUUACCCAUAAUGAGUUUUGCAUACAGCUGGUAGAGCUUAAGUAAUAAAAGGAUUAUCUUCAAAGAUUCUCGACGAAAGACCCUUUUCAAAAAUCGAAAGGGAGUUUACUUUCACGAUUAACCCAUGUACUGUAAAACAAGUAUUGGCAAUGAGUAGAUCAGUAGAGUCGACUAGAAAGCAUAAACUAACGAUACGGCCAGUAAAAUGGCAUUCUUUAAACAUGCGGAAUUACAAUCGAAAAU